rnacentral:rRNA from 1 species
AUUGAACGCUGGCGGCAGGCUUAACACAUGCAAGUCGAGCGAGCGGCGGACGGGUGAGUAAUGUCUGGGAAUCUGCCUUAUGGAGGGGGAUAACUACUGGAAACUGUCGCUAAUACCGCGUACCAUCGGAUGUGCCCAGAUGGGAUUAGCUAGUAGGUGGGGUAAUGGCUUACCUAGCCGACGAUCCCUAGCUGGUCUGAGAGGAUGACCAGCCACACUGGAACUGAGACACGGACCAGACUCCUACGGGAGGCAGCAGUGGGGAAUAUUGCGCAAGGGGGGCAAGCCUGAUGCAGCCAUGCCGCGUGUAUGAAGAAGGCCUUCGGGUUGUAAAGCACUUUCAGCGAGGAGGCGUUACUCGCAGAAGAAGCACCGGCUAACUCCGUGCCAGCAGCCGCGGUAAUAC